AGGAUGCGGGGUGUCCUUGCAGCUAGAGCGCAGGGUGCCUGGGGAGUUCAGAUUAGCUGCGGAGCAGGGGGGUGCCUCUUCCCAGGUUUUCUCUGGGAGGUGAAGAGAGAGGAGUCAGACUAAUCGACAGCAACUGAGAGCAGGACAAAGCAGUGCUAUUUCCCAUGACAGAAACCGGGCUGGGGAGGCAGCUAUCAGCGGGCAAGGGCCAGCAGCCCAGAGGAGCAGCCUCAGGACUCACCCACCACCACCCCCCCAGUCCACCACUGGCCCACCAUGGCCUCCAGCAAAGACUGGAAGAGCAAGUAUGCCUCCAGCCAAGACUGGAAGAGCCAGUAUUGGUAGGACAGGACUGCCCCGCUGAACACUUCAUUUUGCACCCUGUGAUUUAACCCCCUCUCUCCCAGUGCUGCACCUGCACAAUACAAGCAUGCUGGCUUGCUUAUGAUCGUCGGUUUGGCUGGCCAAAUUUCUCCCCAGAUUGAUGGACGGUUCACAGCACUAUCUAUUAAGGACACAACUUACACCAAGAUGCUGCAGCUCUGAGCAAAGCUGUUAUUAGCUGCAGGACUGCAGCACUAUACUUUGGUAAAACGCCUCUCUCAGGAAGCCAGAGGAGAAUGUGGCAGUGCCUGGGUCUCGGCUUGUUGGAGAAACUCCUGGGCACAGGACAAGAAAGCAAGAAACCUAAAUUGUUUAGGGUGCAGUUAUAAUCUGUGUACAAAAGAGAACUCCCUUUGGCUCCUCAAGCUUUGACCCCACCUCAAGUUUUGGCUGGCCACCAUCAUGCCCUGCUUCAGGAGGGAAUGUAUCAGCUGAGAGGAAUGCAGACGAGAGGUGAAUUGAUUGGAGAUUGUUAGAAGAUGAAGGAACAGCAGAAGGAAAACGUGGAAGGUGAAGAAAAUAAAUAUCAGGGGGAAUGUUCUCUGAUAUUACCUCUUUUUCACUUCCUUUCUUACACUUUGCUGUUCUCCAUGUCUCUGGUUGUUAGAGAUUAGGGGAAGAAAUGCCGGUCUGUGGCAACACUAGUGUAAUCCUGCGGAUGACCUGCAAGUGUUACUGAUGGAGUACUUUCCUGAAACACAUCUGGAUGUUUUAUAUCAGAAAUUAUGGACACAACAAGCGCUGCUAAAAAGGAAGGGCAGAUGGCAGCAGUUUUCCGAUUUGAAAAUAAAAAAUAAAGUUUUGUUACCCU